rnacentral:precursor_RNA from 1 species
UUUUUGGUUGGGUGGGACCAACUUCAGCCCCUCCCUGGCAUCUUUACCCAGAAACUGGGAGCAGACCUUGGACCCUUGCCAAAAUAG